GUGUUGUUGGAUUGGAGACUUGAUCCUACAAGUAUCUGCAACUCUCCCUCUAUCCGAUGCGAGUAUGAACUCCUCUAUUCUAUGAACAUUCAUUUGCGGAUGUCGGUGACGUGUUGGACUUUGUUGGGAUGUGAACAGUGUCGUCAAAUGGGCUGCCCUAGACUUGCACGUCUUUUGCUUCCGAUUGUAAUAGGCUAGGCUUUGAUUAUUUUGUAAUAUUGGACUUGAGUCAUGUAUCGAAUAUUACAAUUUUUUUUGAA